CCCUCCUACAAAGGCGUGUCUGUGGUUUCCUGUCCUUGGACAUGUAAGAAUUGGAAGCAAAGAGAUGUGGACUUAAGAGACGUCUGCUUCCCGCAGGCUCAAGAUCAAGAUCACCCUUCU
rnacentral:snoRNA from 1 species